rnacentral:rRNA from 1 species
CCUACGGGAGGCAGCAGUGAGGAAUAUUGGUCAAUGGCCGCAGGGCUGAACCAGCCAAGUCGCGUGAGGGAUGACGGUCCUAUGGAUUGUAAACCUCUUUUGUCAGGGAGCAAAGGGCGCCACGUGUGGCGCUUUGCGAGUACCUGAAGAAAAAGCAUCGGCUAACUCCGUGCCAGCAGCCGCGGUAAUACGGAGGAUGCGAGCGUUAUCCGGAUUUAUUGGGUGUAAAGGGUGCGCAGGCGGAAUGUCAGGUCAGCGGUAAAAUUUCGGGGCUCAACCCCGUCGUGCCGUUGAAACUGGCGUUCUUGAGUGAGCGAGAAGUAUGCGGAAUGCGUGGUGGAGCGGUGAAAUGCGGAGAUAGCACGCAGAACUCCGAUGGAGAAGGCAGCAUACCGGCGCUCAACUGACGCUCAUGCACGAAAGCGUGGGGAUCGAACAGGAUGAGAUACCCCAGUAGUC